CGAACCAAGUAGAAGCACCCGCUUCUCACCUGUAGCGACGCAUAAAGCAGUUGGCAGGUUAAUCACAUUACACAUAACUGUGUAUAAGGAAGAGCGGGUAUUUUAUACCUGCUCUUCCUUUUUGCU
rfam:Staphylococcus aureus subsp. aureus NCTC 8325, complete genome.